GUCUCUCAGGAGUUCUCUCUCAAUAAAACUUUCCUACUCAACCUCCUUUGUCCUUUGGAAUUCAUUCUUUGACUUCAGGGGACACAAACUUGGCACAUCUGACAUCUAGCAGGCUUAGGAGUUAUGCUUCUCCCAUAUCAUUUGAACUGAGGUUCCCUAAACAAACUACAAAUUAAAGUGAGAAGAACAGGACAGUCGUGCUGAUGGUCAGGAAAGACAAGGCCUGGCAAUUCUGCUCCCCAACCCUAUCUGGCUUUUGCUCUGCUAUAUGUUCUGGGAGAAAAGGAUUCUGUCCUUAAACAAUAACCUGUGCAGAAAUCCUCUUUGCAGCUCCCCAAGGCUGAGUGUGAAUUUUAAGAAGACAGAUUAUUGUUUUAUAUACUUGGCUUAAUUUAAUAUCUGAAGAAAUAGAGAGAGGUAGCACCAGCUCAUUGUGGUGGUGCUUGUUCUGGAGCCCUCAUUUCCUUCUCUCCCACAGAAAGGAGAAAACUAACUGAUGGUGUCUUUGGGCCAGCAGAGUUCUCUCCCCCUAGUGUCACCCACUGCGGUUUGAGAAGGAGUGCAGGCCAGGAGUUCUCAAAGAAUCCUGUAGCAGAAGAGUGUCCGGGGACCUCCGCAUGCUGGCUUGUGCUCCAUCCCUGGUCCCUGGCUGCAGAACUAGUCCUUGCAGUGUGCUCACAGGGUGAAGGGCUUAUCUUUACCGACCUGCCCAUGAGAAACCCCCAGAAUGAACUUGGGGGGUAG
rnacentral:lncRNA from 1 species